UACGGGAGGCGCAGUGGGGAAUAUUGCACAAUGGGCGAAAGCCUGAUGCAGCUAUGCCGCGUGUAUGAAGAAGGCCUUAGGGUUGUAAAGUACUUUCAUCGGGGAGGAAAAAACAAAACUAAUAAUUUUAUUUCUUGACGUUACCCGAAAAAGAAGCACCGGCUAACUCCGUGCCAGCAGCCGCGGUAAUACGGAGGGUGCUAGCGUUAAUCAGAAUUACUGGGCGUAAAGAGCACGUAGGUGGUUUUUUUAAAGUCAGAUGUGAAAUCCCUGGGCUUAACCUGGAACUGCAUUUUGAAACUGAAAUACUAGAGUAUCGUAGAGGGAGGUAGAAUUCUAGGUGUAGCGGUGAAAUGCGUAGAUAUCUGGAGGAAUACCUGUGGCGAAAGCGGCCUCCUAAACGAAUACUGACACUGAGGGUGCGAAAGCGUGGGGAGCGAAACAGGGAUUAGAUACCCGU
rnacentral:rRNA from 1 species